CCUGGUGGCGAUGGCGAGGAGGAAACACCCGAUCCCAUGCCGAACUCGGCAGUUAAGCUCCUUUGCGCCGAUGAUACUUCGUCUCAAGACGCGGGAAAGUAGGACACUGCCAGGA
rnacentral:rRNA from 1 species